rnacentral:rRNA from 1 species
UUGGCCAACGCUGGCGGCAGGCUUAACACAUGCAAGUCGAGCGGGGUGAUGGUGCUUGCACUAUCACUUAGCGGCGGACGGGUGAGUAAUGCUUAGGAAUCUGCCUAUUAGUGGGGGACAACAUUUCGAAAGGAAUGCUAAUACCGCAUACGGUCCUACGGGAGAAAGCAGGGGAUCUUCGGACCUUGCGCUAAUAGAUGAGCCUAAGUCGGAUUAGCUAGUUGGUGGGGUAAAGGCCUACCAAGGCCGACGAUCUGUAGCGGGUCUGAGAGGAUGAUCCGCCACACUGGGACUGAGACACGGCCCAGACUCCUACGGGAGGCAGCAGUGGGGAAUAUUGGACAAUGGGCGCAAGCCUGAUCCAGCCAUGCCGCGUGUGUGAAGAAGGCCUUAUGGUUGUAAAGCACUUUAAGCGAGGAGGAGGCUACUCUAGUUUACCUAGAGAUAGUGGACGUUACUCGCAGAAUAAGCACCGGCUAACUCUGUGCCAGCAGCCGCGGUAAUACAGGGGUGCAAGCGUUAAUCGGAUUUACUGGGCGUAAAGCGCGCGUAGGCGGCUAAUUAAGUCAAAUGUGAAAUCCCCGAGCUUAACUUGGGAAUUGCAUUCGAUACUGGUUAGCUAGAGUGUGGGAGAGGAUGGUAGAAUUCCAGGUGUAGCGGUGAAAUGCGUAGAGAUCUGGAGGAAUACCGAUGGCGAAGGCAGCCAUCUGGCCUAACACUGACGCUGAGGUGCGAAAGCAUGGGGAGCAAACAGGAUUAGAUACCCUGGUAGUCCAUGCCGUAAACGAUGUCUACUAGCCGUUGGGGCCUUUGAGGCUUUAGUGGCGCAGCUAACGCGAUAAGUAGACCGCCUGGGGAGUACGGUCGCAAGACUAAAACUCAAAUGAAUUGACGGGGGCCCGCACAAGCGGUGGAGCAUGUGGUUUAAUUCGAUGCAACGCGAAGAACCUUACCUGGCCUUGACAUAGUAAGAACUUUCCAGAGAUGGAUUGGUGCCUUCGGGAACUUACAUACAGGUGCUGCAUGGCUGUCGUCAGCUCGUGUCGUGAGAUGUUUGGGUUAAGUCCCGCAACGAGCGCAACCCUUUUCCUUAUUUGCCAGCGAGUAAUGUCGGGAACUUUAAGGAUACUGCCAGUGACAAACUGGAGGAAGGCGGGGACGACGUCAAGUCAUCAUGGCCCUUACGGCCAGGGCUACACACGUGCUACAAUGGUCGGUACAAAGGGUUGCUACCUAGCGAUAGGAUGCUAAUCUCAAAAAGCCCGAUCGUAGUCCGGAUUGGAGUCUGCAACUCGACUCCAUGAAGUCGGAAUCGCUAGUAAUCGCGGAUCAGAAUGCCGCGGUGAAUACGUUCCCGGGCCUUGUACACACCGCCCGUCACACCAUGGGAGUUUGUUGCACCAGAAGUAGCUAGCCUAACUGCAAAGAGGGCGGUUACCACGGUGUGGCCGAUGACUGGGGCCC